rnacentral:ncRNA from 2 species
AUUACGCGUGCGCUACAUUGAUGUGUUCAACGAGUAUAUAACCCUGGCUGACAGGCCCGGGUAAUUUUGGGAAAUUUCAUCAUGAUGGGGUCAUGGGGACAGAUCAUUGCAAUUGUUGGUCUUGAACGAGGAAUGCCUAGUAAGCACGAGUCAUGAACUCGCAUUACAUCCC